UACGAAGGGGGCUAGCGUUGCUCGGAUUGACUGGGCGUAAAGGGCGCGUAGGCGGAUAGUACAGUCAGGCGUGAAAUUCCUGGGCUCAACCUGGGGGCUGCGCUUGAUACGUAUUGUCUGGAGUUCGGAAGAGGGUCGUGGAAUUCCCAGUGUAGAGGUGAAAUUCGUAGAUAUUGGGAAGAACACCGGUGGCGAAGGCGGCGACCUGGACCGAGACUGACGCUGAGGCGCGAAAGCGUGGGGAGCAAACAGG
rnacentral:rRNA from 1 species